rnacentral:rRNA from 1 species
CCUACGGGAGGCAGCAGUGGGGGAUAUUGCACAAUGGGGGAAACCCUGAUGCAGCAACGCCGCGUGAGUGAAGAAGUAUUUCGGUAUGUAAAGCUCUAUCAGCAGGGAAGAGAAUGACGGUACCUGACUAAGAAGCCCCGGCUAACUACGUGCCAGCAGCCGCGGUAAUACGUAGGGGGCGAGCGUUAUCCGGAUUUACUGGGUGUAAAGGGAGCGUAGACGGCUGGGCAAGUCUGAAGUGAAAGCCAGGGGCUUAACCCCGGAACGGCUUUGGAAACUGAGCAGCUAGAGUGCUGGAGAGGUAAGCGGAAUUCCUGGUGUAGCGGUGAAAUGCGUAGAUAUUAGGAGGAACACCAGUGGCGAAGGCGGCUUACUGGACAGUAACUGACGUUGAGGCUCGAAAGCGUGGGGAGCAAACAGGAUUAGAUACCCUUGUAGUC